GUACGAGAGGACCGGAGUGGACGCAUCACUGGUGUUCGGGUUGUCAUGCCAAUGGCACUGCCCGGUAGCUAAAUGCGGAAGAGAUAAGUGCUGAAAGCAUCUAAGCACGAAACUUGCCCCGAGAUGAGUUCUCCCUGAGACUUAGAGUCUCCUGAAGGAACGUUGAAGACGACGACGUUGAUAGGCCGGGUGUGUAAGCGCAGCGAUGCGUUGAGCUAACCGGUACUAAUGAACCGUGAGGCUUAACCUUAC
rnacentral:rRNA from 2 species